GGUAACAUCAAAUCGUACCCCAAACCGACACAGGUGGUCAGGUAGAGAAUACCAAGGCGCUUGAGAGAACUCGGGUGAAGGAACUAGGCAAAAUGGUGCCGUAACUUCGGGAGAAGGCACGCUGACACGUAGGUGAAGUGAUUUACUCAUGGAGCUGAAGUCAGUCGAAGAUACCAGCUGGCUGCAACUGUUUAUUAAAAACACAGCACUGUGCAAACACGAAAGUGGACGUAUACGGUGUGACGCCUGCCCGGUGCCGGAAGGUUAAUUGAUGGGGUCAGCGCAAGCGAAGCUCCUGAUCGAAGCCCCGGUAAACGGCGGCCGUAACUAUAACGGUCCUAAGGUAGCGAAAUUCCUUGUCGGGUAAGUUCCGACCUGCACGAAUGGCGUAAUGAUGGCCAGGCUGUCUCCACCCGAGACUCAGUGAAAUUGAACUCGCUGUGAAGAUGCAGUGUACCCGCGGCAAGACGGAAAGACCCCGUGAACCUUUACUAUAGCUUGACACUGAACAUUGAGCCUUGAUGUGUAGGAUAGGUGGGAGGCUUUGAAGUGUGGACGCCAGUCUGCAUGGAGCCGACCUUGAAAUACCACCCUUUAAUGUUUGAUGUUCUAACGUGGACCCGUAAUCCGGGUUGCGGACAGUGUCUGGUGGGUAGUUUGACUGGGGCGGUCUCCUCCUAAAGAGUAACGGAGGAGCACGAAGGUUGGCUAAUCCUGGUCGGACAUCAGGAGGUUAGUGCAAUGGCAUAAGCCAGCUUGACUGCGAGCGUGACGGCGCGAGCAGGUGCGAAAGCAGGUCAUAGUGAUCCGGUGGUUCUGAAUGGAAGGGCCAUCGCUCAACGGAUAAAAGGUACUCCGGGGAUAACAGGCUGAUACCGCCCAAGAGUUCAUAUCGACGGCGGUGUUUGGCACCUCGAUGUCGGCUCAUCACAUCCUGGGGCUGAAGUAGGUCCCAAGGGUAUGGCUGUUCGCCAUUUAAAGUGGUACGCGAGCUGGGUUUAGAACGUCGUGAGACAGUUCGGUCCCUAUCUGCCGUGGGCGCUGGAGAACUGAGGGGGGCUGCUCCUAGUACGAGAGGACCGGAGUGGACGCAUCACUGGUGUUCGGGUUGUCAUGCCAAUGGCACUGCCCGGUAGCUAAAUGCGGAAGAGAUAAGUGCUGAAAGCAUCUAAGCACGAAACUUGCCCCGAGAUGAGUUCUCCCUGAGACUUAGAGUCUCCUGAAGGAACGUUGAAGACGACGACGUUGAUAGGCCGGGUGUGUAAGCGCAGCGAUGCGUUGAGCUAACCGGUACUAAUGAACCGUGAGGCUUAACCUUACAACGCCGAAG
rnacentral:rRNA from 1 species